CAUUGAGGCUUCUCAGACUAGCCACAUCAGCUUUCUAAUCUUCUCCACUAAGCUGCCACAUCAGCCUAAUUUUGCUCGAAAUGUUUCUAAACCCAGCCACAUCAGCCUAAUUUAUUACUAAUAAUUAAGGCUUUGGGCCUCUUAAUAAUGUAAUCAACGUUUUGGUUUCCCUAUUAGAUAAUAUACAUCUGAUACCUCUCUCAAAGGUUUUACGUUCCAAUUCAUCUCCCCAAAUCGACUCUCUAAUAGUCGCCUCUCCUUCAAAAAUACGAUCACCUUCCCGUUCAUCGUUCACUUCAUCCAUGGCCUAUGCGAUAGCAUCUCCUUGGAACGGUCUUUGGGUUUGAGCAAGGAAAAGGAUACAGAGAAAUUCCACUCCGUCCUAAUAUUUCUAAACUCUGCAUUUAAUAAGACUCACAAAGGUAUAGAUACCAUGACUCAUGUGAUUUCUGUAUAAGAAGGCCUUUUCUAACUUCUUCACUUAAGGUAUAUGUCUUCUUUUUGCCC